rnacentral:rRNA from 1 species
GAUGAACGCUGGCGGCGUGCUUAACACAUGCAAGUCGAGCGAAGCACUUUACUUGGAUUUCUUCGGAAUGACGAGUAUUGUGACUGAGCGGCGGACGGGUGAGUAACGCGUGGGUAACCUGCCUCAUACAGGGGGAUAACAGUUAGAAAUGACUGCUAAUACCGCAUAAGACCACAGUACCGCAUGGUGCAGAGGUAAAAACUCCGGUGGUAUGAGAUGGACCCGCGUCUGAUUAGCUGGUUGGUGGGGUAACGGCCUACCAAGGCGACGAUCAGUAGCCGGCCUGAGAGGGCGACCGGCCACAUUGGGACUGAGACACGGCCCAAACUCCUACGGGAGGCAGCAGUGGGGAAUAUUGCACAAUGGGGGAAACCCUGAUGCAGCGACGCCGCGUGAAGGAAGAAGUAUUUCGGUAUGUAAACUUCUAUCAGCAGGGAAGAAAAUGACGGUACCUGACUAAGAAGCCCCGGCUAACUACGUGCCAGCCGCCGCAGUAAUAC